rnacentral:lncRNA from 1 species
GACUGAGAAAAUGGAGAGUCCCGUUCGGAGGACUUAAAAACACCGAACAUCUUGCCAAGAGGUAAACUUGGUAGUUACUCUUUUCCCUUCAAUUAUUUAAAAUAGUUUGCUUAGUUAAUCAGGUUCAUAUCAUCUCGAAAAGAAAAUAAAAAUGUUAAAAAUAGUAAGCCCCAUGUGAGUAGACUUGUGGUUUAAAAACCCAUAGGUAUAUUGACUGUGGUGGCAUAAAAUAAAUAUGUUUUCAUCUUACAAUAAAAAUAUAAAAAUAAAUUUAUGAUCCCACUAAAGAGAGUAAUAUUUAUUGAGGAGGCUCAGCAUGAUAAAGGCUAGAUAUUUAUGCUAACACUUAACUAGUUCUACAAAGCUUUGUUGUCUAUUUGAGCUCCACAGAAUUCAAGGAUCAAAGAAGACUAGCAGACGAAUUACAUCCUAAUCGAUGUCAGGGUGCUGCCGACAUUCAAAUACACCUCCGUCACCUGCUAGCUACAUCAGAAGAAAUUACGUCAAAAUCCA